AUGGGCCAAUGCUUAGCGGGCCUGGCCCAAUCCCACGGCCCAAUCUUCAAGCUCCGCCUCGGCAACACCCUCGUCGUCGUCGUCACCUCCCCUUCCUUAGCCCGCGAGUUCCUCAAAGACCAUGACGUCACCUUCGCCAACCGCGACAUCCUCGCCGCCGCUAGGGCCUCCACCUAGGGAGGAAAUGAUAUCGAGUGGUCCCCGUAUGGACCCCAGUGGCGGAUGCUGAGAAAAGUCUGCGUGCUCAAGAUGCUCAGCAACACCACUGUGGACUCGGUGUACGAACUCCGACGAAAGCAGCUCCGGGAAACUGUCGGGUACUUCUACAGUCGGGUCGGGUCGGCGGUAAAUGUCGGCGAGUAGAUGUUCUUGAACGUGCUCAAUGUUAUCUCCAAAACGUUGUGGGGUGGGACGGUGGAAGGGGACGAGAGGGCUGGACUUGGAGCCGAGUUACGGGAAGUUGUAUCGGAGAUGACGGAGUUAUGAAGCAGAAUGUGUAGGACUUUUACCCGGGUUUGGCCCGGUUCGAUUUGCAAGGCGUGGAGAAGCAGAUGGCGAGGUUGGCUCGGAGGUUUGAUUGGAUAUUUGAGAAGGUAAUUGAUCAACGGCUGCGGAUGGAGAAAGAAGGCGCGAAAAAGAGUAUUGAUGUAUUGACUUUUUUGUUGAAGUUGAAAGACGAGGGAGGAGAUUCGAAGACGCCUUUCACUAUGACCCAUGUCAAAGCUUUGCUUAUGGAUAUGGUGGUGGGUGGCAGUGACACUUCCUCCAACACAGUUGAGUUUCCAUUGGCUGAAAUUAUGCACAAACCAGAGGUGAUGAAAACGGCCCAGCAAGAACUAGAAGCUGUACUUGGCAAACAAAACAUUGUAGAAGAGUCUCAUAUUCAUAAACUACCCUACGUACUUACAAGCUGUGAUGAAAGAAACUCUGCGCUUGCACCCAGCCCUGCCACUACUAGUCCCUCACUGCCCAAGUGAAAGCUGCACUGUGGGAGGCUACACCACCCCAAAAGGGUCUCGGAUUUUCGUGAACGUGUGGGCAAUAUAUACAGGGACCCUUCCAUUUGGGAAAACCCAUUGGAGUUUGAUCCAAAAAGGUUCUUGAACAGCAAAUGGGACUAUAGUGGAAAUGACUUCAACUAUUUCCCAUUUGGAUCUGGCAGAAGAAUAUGUGCUGGGAUUGCAGUGGCUGAGAGGAUGGUGAUGCAUUCACUUGCUACGCUUGUGCACUCUUUUGACUGGACAUUGCCACAAGGACAGAAGUUGGAUCUUUCAGAGAAGUUUGGUAUUGUGCUGAAAAAGAAGAUGCCUUUGGUUGCUAUCCCAACUCCUAGGUUAUCUGAUCCUGCACUCUAUGAGUAGCCAACUUCAUUUAGGACCGCAAGGAUUUAUUGGGAUAUUUGUUGUGUAUCUUUCUGAAGAUGAAUUUUAUGAUUCAGUGUUUGGGAGCUGAGAGGCCCCA